AGGGGCCCAUGGCUUCGGCAGUCUCAGGGAAGGGGAGGCGGCGGGUUCCGGCCAUUUUCAGCUUGGGUGGAGCUAAGUUUGGAAUCUUGUUACCUGGAGGGG
ensembl:misc_RNA